rnacentral:rRNA from 1 species
UACGUAGGGUGCAAGCGUUAAUCGGAAUUACUGGGCGUAAAGCGUGCGCAGGCGGCUUUGCAAGACAGAUGUGAAAUCCCCGGGCUUAACCUGGGAACUGCAUUUGUGACUGCAAGGCUGGAGUGCGGCAGAGGGGGAUGGAAUUCCGCGUGUAGCAGUGAAAUGCGUAGAUAUGCGGAGGAACACCGAUGGCGAAGGCAAUCCCCUGGGCCUGCACUGACGCUCAUGCGCGAAAGCGUGGGGAGCAAACAGG